rnacentral:rRNA from 1 species
AUUGAACGCUGGCGGCAGGCCUAACACAUGCAAGUCGAACGAGUGGCGGACGGGUGAGUAAUGUCUGGGAAACUGCCUGAUGGAGGGGGAUAACUACUGGAAACGGUAGCUACUCCCGCAUACCAUCAGAUGUGCCCAGAUGGGAUUAGCUUGUUGGUGGGGUAACGGCUCACCAAGGCGACUAUCCCUAGCUGGUCUGAGAGGAUGACCAGACACACUGGAACUGAGACACGGUCCAGACUCCUACGGGAGGCAGCAGUGGGGAAUAUGGAACAAGGGGCACAAGCCUGAUGCAGCCAGGCCGCGUGUAUGAAGAAGGCCUUCGGGUUGUAAAGUACUUGCAGCGGGGAGGCGUUACCCGCAGAAGAAGCACCGGCUAACUCCGGGCCAGCAGCCGCGGUAAUUC